UACGUAGGUGGCAAGCGUUGUCCGGAAUUAUUGGGCGUAAAGAGCUCGUAGGCGGUCUGUCGCGUCGGAUGUGAAAAUCCAGGGCUCAACCCUGGACCUGCAUUCGAUACGGGCAGACUAGAGUUCGGCAGGGGAGACUGGAAUUCCUGGUGUAGCGGUGAAAUGCGCAGAUAUCAGGAGGAACACCGGUGGCGAAGGCGGGUCUCUGGGCCGAUACUGACGCUGAGGAGCGAAAGCGUGGGGAGCGAACAGG
rnacentral:rRNA from 1 species